ensembl:lncRNA
UGUGGUUUCACUGGGGUUGCUUUGAGUGCAAAGGGCUGCGGAAGUUCUUUACCACGAGACUGAAGUGCUGGAACAGGCUGCCCAGAGAUGCUAUGGGUGCCCCGUCCCAUGAGGUGUUCAAGGCCAGUCAAGUCACAACCCCAGUCUUCAUAGUAAAGGACGAAUAAACAGCUUUAGUACUCCAUUUGCUUGCCUUUAGCCGAACUUGCAAGAGAAGAUACACACUGCAGUGACCCAGCAAGAAAAGCAGCUGGCAGCUCAGGAGACAGGCACCAAUAUGCACCUGUCAUUGACAACACGCUCAGAACAUGGCCAAUUUCAAUGUAAAGGUGCAGCUCAAUGUGGAGUCACAUAUGUUGCCUACGAUCAGCACCACUGUGUGGUAUUGCAGAGAGGUUUUAGUAAGCAUGACUUUGCUUCACUUUGGAGAAGGCCGAGUCGGAAGAGUCACCACAAACGUGCACCAAACGACAGAUCUGUAGCGAGGCUCUACAGGCCUGAAACACGGGGUGAACUGCAUCGCGGUGAAGCCCAUCAGGGUACUGUGAGCACUGAAACAGGCUGCCCGGGGCAGUGGGCACGGCCCCGAGCUGUCAGAGUUCAAAAAGCGUCUGGAGAACGCGUAGGAAGGUGCGCGCGUAACACGACGCGUGGCCGUGAGGGCCGUGAGGGCCCCGCGGGGCCUUGCCGGGGCCACCGCCGUGCAGUGCUGCCGAAGCGCCACCAGAGGGCGGCAGAGCGCGGCUCCCGCCGGUGCCUCCCGGUAUCCCCGCGCUGUGCCGGCGGCAGGGGGCACGCGGGCCGCCCUCUGCGCCUCGGAGCAAUCAGCAAGAGCCUUGACAAGUGCUGCCAUAAGGAUCUGACUAUCUGGCUUUUUUGAAUGAUUCCUGAAGGCUGCGAUUCAAUGUCUCCAUGUAAUGGAAUUGAUUUCCUUCAGUUAAGUUGGUUUCUCCCUUGGUUUUCCGUGAUGGCUUUAACCUGCAGCGCCAUGAGCAGGCAAUCUGAAGGCUGUGGUUGGUGACUCAUGCCAUUAGUUUUGCCUCUGGCAUUGCUACGGAAAAUCCAUUUCCGUCCAAACUGAAGCUGUCUGUUGAGCGUUAUGUAGUGUGCUGCCUUCGUUUUCUUUUCAAUGAAAAGCUCUUCCAUCUAGAAAUACACGUUCAGACUCUUGCAUUCCAGGUAUGUUUCUGGGGAAGACUGGAAAUACUUUUAACCUUCUCCUCACGGAAUGUAUGAAGGCUGCUCCGAAAGUAAUGCCUCCUAUUUAUUCCCAUGGAAACUGCAACAGUUACAAAGAGUACAAUAACACCGUUUGAUAGAACAAAUUCUCAGCUACAAAGCACUAUUUUUCAACAUGGUUGCCAUCAUUAGCUAUGCAUUUUCAUCCGUGAUGCACAAGAGCCUGUCCAGAACAUAGCUUAUCUUUCACGUUGCUGUUGAAAUGCACCACGCACCCACUCACUGUUCUCACAUCCACUGUUUUGUCUCCAUAAAUGUUCAGCAAGCGUCCAUGAAUGUCAGUGGGUGCCAUUUUUUCUGCGUGGAGAAAUCUGAUGAGACACCUUUCUUUCAUCCACCCUGCCUUGUCACAGACCAUUGUGUACGACUGUCCCUCUGCUGCCAUCUGUCACAUGGCAAUAACAUGUAACAGAAUAUUGGUAGGAAGGUUCAACCUCCACUGCCGUACCACCAGCAUCUACCUCUGAUGUUGUGGGCCAACAUAAUAAAAUAGGAGGCAUUACUUUUGGAGCAGGCCUUGCAUUUAGGGAGACAUUCCUCAAGGAUCAGUUUGACAUGGAUGCGUGAGGCAGGAACUCUUGAAUUUCACCGUGUCGAACAUCCAGGUCUUGGUGCCUGUGAGAUGAGUUUUCUCUUCUAAACAGUGGAAGUUAUCUCCUCUCCGCCUUCUUUCUGCCUGCCUUUCAUCCCAGCAAGGCAGGAAACUGGCUUUGCUAAUUCUUUAGAGAUCUCUGUGGCUUCCUAUCACUUACCUACCAGGUCUUUCUCCAGUAAUCUAUGAAGUCUUCUGUGAUGACAAGUGAGAAAUCUGGUGAUUGCUGCACAUCAGGUAUCAGUCGUGGAAGGCACACUCUGGUCUGGGAGCUGGAGGCAGGAAGCUCCUUGGCCUGUAAUCCUACAUUUCUGCUUUAACAGCACAUACAAUUUGAGAUAGCUGUGAGCAAACAAAGCUGAAGGUUGGAAUUCAUGAAAAGAGAAGCGUUGUUUUUGCUAAUUGGCUAACAUCUGAAGGGUUUGGCAAUGUGAUUACCAGCUGCUAUAGUCUGCAAUUGAUGUCACCUUCUCUUUGUAUAUAAACAUUAGUCAUUUGCUAAAGAAUGUGAAAAACAGGUGUUCCCUGUUCAUUGGAAACCUAUUCUUUUAAUGGGAUACUAUAAGAUAGCACCUGACAUAGAACAAUCCCUCGUAUGUUUGGUGUUAUUAACAUAAACACACUUGAACAGUUCCUUAUGCGGUGCCAUUGGUAUGCGUAGCACAGAAAAGAUAAACAAAAUGACAGAUGCCUAAACCAGAUGAAACUACAAUUAACCUAAUGACAGACAAAAAUAAAGGAAGUGUGGCAGGAAAAUGUGAAGGAACAUAAAAAUCACUGCAAGCUGCACUCGUUAGCUUUGUUUUUUUCUUUUUAAAGAAGUACUUCUACAGUUUGUAGCCAAUACAGGAAGUGAAGGUUGAAGCUGUAACCUUGCAGAGGGAAAUUUGGCUUCCAGACGUGACUCUUUGAAAAGGUUUUGGAAUACAGGAGUGCUCUGCACACAGGAUGAGAAAAGACAUUGAAGAAUAAGCAGUAUGCAUGGAAAAUAACCCACAGUGAUUAGCGGAAAAAGGGAAUAAAGCUAUGUCCCAUAGGCGUGCCCUCUGGAGAGCUUCAACUCAACCUUCUUAUCAGCUGUAGAGCGCAGCAGGAAAAUUGGUACUGUGGCUCUGUAUGCACUCAAACUGGUAUGUUUAGCUUGAAUUUCCACGAACAGAUUUCUUUAGAAAAUUUCGAAUUUGUGCACAAGAUUAAAUUCAAUAGGCAUUAAAUAAAAUAUACCUAAAUGAGAACGUACUAAUAAAAAGCAGCUAUUUGUCUACAGCAAGCUUUAAACGUUCCCAAGCAGCGUGCUCAAGGACAUUCACAUGGAGCUGCUUUGGCAGAGCAGAGGCUCGCUAGGUCAGAACAAGGCUCCCUGCUUCCAUCAGUAGAGCUGCUGAGUGCAGGCAGAGCACUGGAUUCACCCAGUGGGCUCUGGGUGCCCCAAGCCAGCCCAAGGGCCAGCAGCUCAGCUCCCGCUCUCACACCCCCAUGGGAUCCAGUUAUCAUAAAACUGUGUUCUGAAGAUAAAAAAUGAUCCAAGGGAUGGAACAUCUCCCCUAUGAGGACAGGCUGAGGGAGUUGAGGAUUUUCAGCCUGGAGAAGAGAAGGCUCCAGGGAGACCUGGUAGUGGCCUUUGAGUAUCAAAAGAGGGGCUGUAAGAAAGAAGGGAACAGACUCUUUUGCGGGGUCUGCUGUGAUAGAAAAUGGGAAAAUGGUUUCAAACUAAAAGAGGGAAUAUAAGGAAGAAGCUUUUAAGAAUAAGGAUGGUGAGGCACUGGCACAGGUUGCUCAGAGAGGUGGAGGAUGCCCCAUCCCUGGAGAUACUCAAGGUGAGGCUGAAUGGGGCUCUGAGCACCUGAUGGAGCUGUAGGUGUGCCUGUCCAUUGCAGGGGAGUUGGACUUGAUGGCCUUUAAAGGUCCCUUCCAACUUAACCCAUUCUAAGAUUUAUGAAGAUUAGAGGGGUAGCUUUGAAGAUUGAGGUUACAAUGAGAUGAGGCAUGCUCAGAACAACACAGUUCCAAAUUAAAAGUAAGGUUAAUUUUUGUUCUCGUAAUCAAAGUUACGUUUUUAAUGCAGGAGAUAGACAACUACCUAACAGUGCGGAACGCUCAGCUGCGGGUGAGCAAUCAAGCAGUGCCCCAGUAGAGCUAAAACAUUUUGCUGGGUUUGUGACAGCAUCUUUUUUUUCUCUUUUUUUUUUUGGUCUGUCACAAAUUGCCAUCGUCUCACAGCCAAAAUUGUUGGAAUUUUUUCCAUUGUGCACGAAGCAUUUUUAAACAAUAAUUCCAUCUAUUCUUAGCGAGAUGUUCUUUGGUGUGAAUUCUAUCUAUUGUUAGAAAGUGCUUUUGAGAAAAUAUGAUUCUAAUCUUAUGGCUUUUUGCCUUGAUAUCAAGAGACUUACUACCAAAUAUGCAGUCAUAUCUUUUGUUAAUAGAACCAAGUUACAGGAUCUAUUCAUAGAGCAGUAAUAAAUAAUGGUGGCAGCGGGGAGGGAUAUAUGUCAUUUUAGUUCUAGAAAACUGAUACUCCCAAAGGAUAAUGAUAUGAGGAAAAUUAGCUGCUGUCAACCUAGUUCAUAUAUAGUCUGUAUUGUAGGGAAAAAGAAUGUAUUGGAAUAAACUCUGUGGAAAGAAAAAUGACAUUUAUAAGUAAGUUUUUCCAGCCAAAAGACAUUUUUUUUCUAUUUCAGCCCCAAAGUGCACCCCUGACAUUUGCAUCGAGGGGCAUAUUUAGAUAUUUAGUGCAGUACAGUCCCAAAACUUUAUCAGAACGUUGAAAGCUGUUGUAAACAAGGAAACCAAAGUCAGGAGUCUCUCAGCAGAAAAGAGAACACCACCUGAAAUGGUUGCUGCUCAGUGUCUAGGCUUUCCUUUAUUCCCAUGGCAGAGUACAGGCCAUGCUAAGCAAGCUGAUCAAAACUGCAGAGGAGCUAGUGGUGGGAGAAAAACACAUCAUCAUAAUGUAUGCCAAGUGGAGGGUGGCAGGGAGACCCAACGGAGUGCCGUGCUUUUCACAUACACAACUUUCACAUUCUGAAUAAUUGUAACUUCCCUCAGUGUGACUCCCACAUUGCUCUAUCAGACCUGAUAAUGAAGUUAAAUCAGUCCAGUCCUCGAUCUCCGAUUUAGGCAGAUGUUAAAAUGAUAUCUCACUGCUUCUCAUGCACAUCUCAUGCGCUGUUUUUUGGGUGUUUGGGUUUUUUGUGCUGAUUUGGUUCCAGGGAACAUGCAACGACCUACAGAUUUGUUUCCCUAAUCGUGUCAGCUAUUGGCAGUACUGGUGUCCAAGACCUGUAAACCAAGUUUUGUGUGCAGCCCACUUUUUGAGGACAGCCAGGCCAGAAAGCUGUGCAUGGCAGACUGGAUGUCUGUAGGAGCCAGCAACUGUGAAUACAAAAAAGCUGCAGUCCCUCAACUUCUCCCCACAGGUUUCCCCUGGCAAUCCUGGCAUUGGAUCUUGUGAAGGAAACACCUGGCCCUUGGACUACACAAAGUCUAACAUCAGAGGCGCCAAUCAGCACUGUGAUGUUAUGCAUUCCAAAAGCUGAAAGCGUCUGGCGAAUGAAGCAAGAAACUGCACAAAGGGAAAGUCUGGUGAUUCAGUCAGCUGCUCCAUGCCCAGAGAAGUGGCCUACGGCCCUGCCCUUCCCACAGCACUCUCCAUUCCUCAUGCUGGUGGCCAGCCAUCUACUACAGACAUUACUGAAGAGCAGUACUUGCAUCGUCGCCUUUAGGCAACUGAAAAGUAUGACUGACAUAAAAAUCCAGAGCUUUCAAAUCCAGAGGCCCUCAUUGCUGGUAGAAACAAGAGAGGGAAAUAUAUUCAUAUUCUAGACAGGCACUAGAGAGAGGUUCUCUGCUUGAAACUGGACUAAAUCUACAGCUUCAUACAUCGACAUGAAGGGAGGAGUAACUCAGCACUUCUCUCUCCAGCAUCACAAGGCUCUGAAGGUACUGCCUUUGACAGACUUUUUUUCUCUGAGUGGAUGAGUUAUUGAUCAAGUAAGAGAUAAAAAAAAUAGGCACUUACUUUGUGCCACAUUGCUCUGAUCAGUGAUAGAAGCUCACUGCUGGAUACCGAUCUUAAUACAAUCUCAUGAACUCAGCAGAUCCUUUUCCUUAGUCUGCACUAAUGUCAUAUUAAGUGUCUUUGUGUUUUUUACCAUAUUAAGCAUUUCUGAAACUUGAAGAUUGAUUUUGGUUUGAUUUUAAAGGGCUGAGAGAUUUUAGAAUUAGAUUUUAAUAGCCAAUUAUAGAUUAUUAAACAGUGGAAAAAAUUUAAAGCCAUUAAAAUAAUCUUUUAAACCUUCCUUAAAAUUACAUGCGAUCCACUGAGAAUAUUCGUCCAGCUGUAUUUGAAAAAUAUUAAUUGGAAGUCAGUGCAAAUAUAAAUGCUAAUGUGAACUUAACCAGAACGUGAGGGUUUCUGAACUGGAAAAGCUCUCAGAGCACACAGAAGUCACCUGUCAAGGUGGUUUUGGGACAACCAUAUGUACUAUGGGAUGACGGAGGGCAAAAAUUACGGAGGGCCACUAUGUGACUAAUUCUGCUUACUUCUAUUUUGUUUGUUUGAACAUCAGAAAUUCCUCACACGUAUCCUGUGUCUUCCAGUGAUUUGUUACACCUCUGUAAAAUACUGAUUUCAUUCCUAAGGGUGUUUCUGCCUUUAAAGAGCAGUAUCUGUCUGGCUCAGUUGGCAGUGCUGACCGGAAUAAAAACAAACAAACAACAAAAAACAAAAAUAAAUGAACAAAUAAAUGAAAAACAUCCCUGAUCAAAUAUCAGUAACUGUUACAGAACAGGAACUAAAAGAGGGGCGAUUUAGGUUAGAUGUUAGGAGGAAAUGCUUUCCCCAGAGGGCAGUGAGGUGCUGACACAGCUGCCCAGAGAAGCUGUGGUGCCCCAUCCCUGGAGGCGCUCAAGGCCAGGUUGGAUGGGGCCCUGGGCAGCCUGAGCUGGUGGGGGGCAGCCCUGCCCACGAUAGGGUUUGGAGUAGGGUGGGCUGUGAGGUUCCUUCCAACCCAAAUCAUUCUGUAAUUCUAUGAUUAUGAAUGUUACAUUUCAAUUAAUGUUAUCAUAACAAUGCUAUGGAUAUGAUUUUUCUUAUCUCAGCUUGCUGGGGAAUAGUGUAAAGAAUUUUCUGAAUGGGUAUAGCCUUUGGGGUGCCUGAGAUAAAGUAUUUUCACACACAUCCACCCCAUGUGAAACGUGCAGAAAGCCAAAAUAAACCACUGAAUUGGAUUUUGCCUUCGCUUCAGGAAGGACAGAAUAGUAGGGACUAUUUCUCAUACUUGAUCGCUAAUUUGUUGGCCAGUCAUCGUGGCAAUUAAGGAAAAAUGAUCACCUCAGUCCAAGCUGAGUGAAAUAAAGGGGAGAUUUCUUGUUAUGGCUGGGAAAAUCACAGAAAGCGUCACAGAAAUACGGAAGGAGCUAUGAUGGAUAUGCAUGGAGAAGACAGAGAACAAAUGCAGCAAAUAGGAAGCAUCAACUACUGAUAUGACAGAGAUUCAGAAUCACAGAAUGUCUUAGGUUGGGAGGGACAUCAAAGCCUACCCAGUCCCAACCCCUGCUGUGAACAGGGCUGCC